UACGUAGGGUGCGAGCGUUGCCCGGAUUUAUUGGGCGUAAAGGGCGCGUAGGCGGCUCGACACGUCCGUUGUGAAAGCCCCCGGCUCAACUGGGGAGGGUCAUUCGAUACUGCUCGGCUCGAAGACAGGAGAGGGAAGUGGAAUUCCCGGUGUAGUGGUGAAAUGCGUAGAUAUCGGGAGGAACACCAGUGGCGAAGGCGACUUUCUGGCCUGUUCUUGACGCUGAGGCGCGAAAGCUAGGGGAGCAAACGGG
rnacentral:rRNA from 1 species